UCCGUUAGUAGCCGCGUCUAAAAUACCAGAUACAGGGGAAAAAUAAGAAAUGUCCACUGGCCAAAUGAUAACAACAAGGAAUGUCCACAGAUCGCUACGAUGCAGAUUACCGGUUCUAAUUUUAGUUAUGUUUUGCUUUCUAAGGGUAAACAAGUGAAUAUUUUUCGUGCAUAUUUUUGCAGUUUACAGCGUUAAGGUUAUGUUUUAAUGUAAAAAUAUAAAAGUAAAAAGUGCAUCAUGGAAAAAAAUUUAAAUAGUAAGCAGCAGGAGUAGCAACACAGUAAAAAGUUUAAGAAAAGAAAGAUACAUGGACGGAUUACGGAUGUAAACAAGAAAAUAAAGGUCCAAUCCCAAUAAGCGAGGAAAAAUUUAAAGAUUUGCAAGCUCUGAAAGUGUUCUGUUCUCAAGAAGCUCAAAACUAUUAUGAUAAGUUACCUCAUGCCGCUAAAAACAAAAAGAAAAAGCAGCAAUAAAACUACGGAGGUCUUAAAUCAAUAUGGAACAAAUACUAGAACUAUGAUAGAUGAAACCUCGAAAUAUUGGACAUUACCCCUUUGUACUUAGGAAUUUGAUUUCUUUUUUGGACAUUCUUCAUUUUUGCUAUGGAGAAUUGCAAGUUUGUUAGUUUUUUGUAUAUUUUUUGUAUUGAAAUGUGUCUUGAAAUACAAUGCUAUUGAAUACGUGUAGCAUACAGUUAAAUAAAUAAUAUUUAACAUA